rnacentral:lncRNA from 1 species
GAGACAAGGGCGAGGCCAGCUCCCCACCUCCCUCGGGGCCCUGCGGCCGCUGCCGAAGGAAGCCACCCUCGGUCUGUCUGGUUACGAGAAUGCGCUCAGGCCUUUCGAGCGGGCUUUCUGUCACUCGCCACCAAGAGUCCUGAUGAACGGCACGGUCUAAUCAGACCCUCUCUUCGACUACAACAGCUGAACUUCCCGGAGGGUGUGCUUUGCGUCUCUAACUAGACGUGAACUCCUCAAGGAUAGAAACCCACAGCACGCAUUUCCAAUCGCCCUGAGCGUCUAACACACAGCGAAGCACACAUUUGGGGGAGAAUUUAUGGAGCGUUUGCUGGGUGCGGGGCGUCGUGCUAGGCGCUUUUACGUGACGUAUGUCAUCCCGACCUUCGGGGAAACCUGUAAGGCGCAUAGUACUGUCAACGUUCAAAAUGAUCAAACUCUGUCCACGUCGCUCCCAAGCCAGUAACAGCUCGAGCCGGUGCCAUUGGCCCAGACUGUCGGUGGCAUUGGCUCCUGGGGCUUCCGCUCAUCCCGUUAGGCUCCAACUUAGGGUUCCGGCUGUAGUAAAGGGGACACGUCAUUCCUCCCGGGCUGACCUGCCGUGACCAGGGGCGAUGAGGAGACCAGCCAGGGCCAGUCUGGACUCUGUGGGCAGGAGAGCACUUUUGAGCAAAGUUCAUCGCUGGCAGUACAAAGUCGCGGCCCGUAGAGGCUUCCACGUCGUUGCCGCCCGCUCAGAGGGCUGCCGGGGGGCUCCCGGGGGGCAGGGAAAGUCCGCGGACCACUGUUCCCAGCUGGUCCCCCUGCCUCCACCCCAGGGCAAGACCGUCAGAACGUCUCUGGACUCCAGCUGGAAUCCCAAGACCCCUGCAGCCUGGCAUCUUGGGACGAGAAGGAGGUCCGGUAAAUGUUCCUCCUCCUGACAUCCCCUUGGUUCGUCUGCCCGAGGGGCUGGGCGCCGACCGCAACCCCACUGCCAGGCGCCCAGAGGAGGGCCCCGUCCGCCAGGGCUCCCCGUCACCGAGG